rnacentral:lncRNA from 1 species
UAAGAUUAAUCUCAUUAUUAAAAUGACAGAGUGCGAGAAAAGCUUAUCUCUACCAACCAGGAAACUGAAGAUGACAUCCGUGUGACUUCGGUUGUUUGAGGAACAACCAUUGGUUUGUGAUGCAUCACGCCAACAGAUGCAGGCUAUAAAAGAGGCACUGGUUUCACAUCCUCUCCAACCACUGGGACACCCUCAGCUUCUACAGAAGAAGAGACAGCGAGAUGAAGGUUCUGCUGCUCAGCGUUGUCCUUGGUCUGCUUUAUGCAGGCCACGGUGAAGCUCAGCCAAUUCUCAAACCGGUACCAGGGGUGGUGCAAGCUGGGAGGAGGUCUUGGGGUAUAUGUGUGUGCGUGUCCCUUUUGAGGUUUGGUCAUGUGGAUCCCUAAGUCUGGCCAUCUCCCUGCAACUCAAAGUUGCUCCAUUCACUGGCUCUAUACCUGUUCUGCAUGGCCUCUGUAUCAUCUCUGCCGUCUAUUCAUUGGCUCUCGUGCCUGUUCACUGCUCUUGUAAAACAGAAGAUCUCACGGCUGUUGGACUAGGGCUCUUGCAUUUGACAAGACAGCUCAAGCUAUCUCAGUAAUGCCUCAGCUCCUUCCUUUACACAGCUCAAGCUAUCCCAGUAAUACCUCAGUCCUUCCUUUAUGUGAGUUGAGUUUUCACAUGAUUUUAUACCUAGGGCUGUGUCCAUAAAGAUAGGUAACUUCUGCCCAAGUGAAAGGACAAGGGAAACUCCUGAGGGAUGAUGUUGGUAGAAUUUCCAGAGAUGGCUGAAGCUUCCUCACAGGAAUUUGAUUUUAGUUUUCAGGGGAAUGGAAAACCCAUUACAUCGCAGCCAGUAACAAAGACAAGAUCACUGAGGGCGGGCCAUUCCACGCGUACGUACGUCAUCUUGAGUUUCAUGCAAAUAACACAGUUCACCUCGACUUUUAUGUCAAGUCAGACGGAGAAUGUGUAAAAAACAAGUCACAGGAGUAAGGCAAAGACUUUUUGUUUAUCAUGUUGAUUAUGCGGGUGAAAACGAAGUUACAAUUCUUCAUCUGUCACCUGACGCUAUAAUAGGAUCUAUUCACAAUGUGGAUGAAGAAGGAAAAGAGACAGACUUCGUUGCAAUACUCAGUAUGUAUGGCAUUCUAAAAUUCCCAUUGCUAUUGUCAUGCCACGUGUCCAUGCCAGAACUUUCAUUCAGAAAAUCACGAGGUGUUGACAAUAUUCACUAUUCAGUGUACAAGGUCUUCAUAUUCGUGUUCACUGACUUGAGUAUCCUGGAAGGUAAUCUACUAAGAAACGGGGGCCAAAAAUAAUUCUCAAACAUUAGAACAUAGUCUCUACCUGUUGAUAUUAAAAAAAAAUUAUUUUAUAGAGUAUUUUUAAAAAAAUAUGUCAACUAAGCUCAAGCCAUGGCUAUGAUAAGGCUGGCCUGAAUUAUAUCAUUUUAUAUCAGUUUUCUCAUGCAUUGUAACUCCUGGAACAGAAACUUGUAAAAUAAAUAUUCGUCCUGUUAAAUUAUCA